rnacentral:rRNA from 1 species
CCUACGGGAGGCAGCAGUGGGGAAUAUUGCACAAUGGGGGAAACCCUGAUGCAGCGACGCCGCGUGAGUGAAGAAGUAUUUCGGUAUGUAAAGCUCUAUCAGCAGGAACGAGACAAGACGGUACCUGACUAAGAAGCCCCGGCUAACUACGUGCCAGCAGCCGCGGUAAUACGUAGGGGGCAAGCGUUAUCCGGAAUCACUGGGUGUAAAGGGAGCGUAGACGGCUGAGCAAGCCUGAAGGGAAAGGCGGGGGCCCAACCCCCGGACUGCUUUGGGAACUGUACGGCUGGAGUGCAGGAGAGGUAAGUGGAAUUCCUAGUGUAGCGGUGAAAUGCGUAGAUAUUAGGAGGAACACCAGUGGCGAAGGCAGCCGGCCAAGCCAUGACUGACGCUGAUGCACGAAAGCGUGGGGAUCAAACAGGAUUAGAUACCCGAGUAGUC